rnacentral:rRNA from 1 species
UCGAGGAUCUUUCACAAUGGGCGAAAGCCUGAUGGAGCGACACUGUGUGAACGAUGAAGGCCUUCGGGUUGUAAAGUUCUUUCGCUUAGGAACAAGAGAUCGUAGUGAAUAACUGUGUGAUUUGAGUGUACUAGGUAAAGAAGCACCGGCUAACUCCGUGCCAGCAGCUGCGGUAAUACGGAGGGUGCAAGCAUUAAUCGGAAUUAUUGGGCGUAAAGGGCGCGUAGGCGGUUAAGUAAGUCAGAUGUGAAAUUCCGAAGCUCAACUUCGGAGCUGCAUUUGAAACUACUAAACUGGAGGAUUGGCGGAGAAAACGGAAUUCCACGUGUAGCGGUGAAAUGCGUAGAUAUGUGGAAGAACACCGGUGGCGAAAGCGGUUUUCUAGCUUAUUCCUGACGCUGAGGCGCGAGAGCAAGGGGAGCAAACAGGAUUAGAUACCCGUGUAGUCC